rnacentral:lncRNA from 1 species
AUACCUAGGAUCUGAUGGUUAAAAAAUAGCCAAAACUUGCUUGAAAUAUAUUAAACGAUUUGUGGCAGCUUGUAGCCGCCAGAAAUUGAUAUUCUCUUUUCCAGAACUUCUCUGUCGUGGUAAACACACGAAAAUUUCAGAUUCAGCACAAGCAACUCAGCCCCAAAUUUUCAAAUAAAAUCAAGACACCACACACAAAAAGGAUUUGCAGGAGCUUUCGGCCUGACCCAUCACUAGAUUAUGGCCAUCUUCCAUCAUUGUUCGCAUCAACGAGCGGAGUUCGUGGCGACUGGCGAGAGAUUGUCUUACAGCGGCACAGAUCGACCUUGUUUGGAAGCCAAAUCCUCUCUCUCUCGCUCGCUCAAAUCUUCUCUCUCUCGCACAUACAUCAAAUGGGUAGAGGGGAGAAAGGGAAUUGGUUGACGAGUCACUUCCCUCCACGGCGGUGGCAACCUCAAGCGCACACCCUGGCGUUCCUCGACCGCGCCGACAUCUCCAUUCUAGGUUUGGGUAUGAAUCUUGCGACGACGCUGGCGGCCGAGUGUUAGUUCCAGAGAAAAUAAUUGUUUUUAAUUAUUUUUAUAUAUUUUUUAAUUGAUUAAUUAU